UACGUAGGGUGCGAGCGUUGUCCGGAAUUAUUGGGCGUAAAGAGCUCGUAGGCGGCCAGGUAGGUCUGCUGUGAAAACUCGAGGCUCAACCUCGAGACGUCGGCGGAAACCAUCUGGCUAGAGUCCGGAAGAGGAGAGUGGAAUUCCUGGUGUAGCGGUGAAAUGCGCAGAUAUCAGGAAGAACACCCGUGGCGAAGGCGGCUCUCUGGGACGGUACUGACGCUGAGACGCGAAAGCGUGGGGAGCGAACAGG
rnacentral:rRNA from 1 species